rnacentral:tRNA from 1 species
GGCCCUGUAGCCUAAUGGAUAUGGCGUCGCCCUCCUAAGGCGAAGGUUGUGGGUUCGAAUCCCAUCUGGGCCU